CAAGUCGAGCGGACAGAUGGGAGCUUGCUCCCUGAUGUUAGCGGCGGACGGGUGAGUAACACGUGGGUAACCUGCCUGUAAGACUGGGAUAACUCCGGGAAACCGGGGCUAAUACCGGAUGGUUGUCUGAACCGCAUGGUUCAGACAUAAAAGGUGGCUUCGGCUACCACUUACAGAUGGACCCGCGGCGCAUUAGCUAGUUGGUGAGGUAACGGCUCACCAAGGCGACGAUGCGUAGCCGACCUGAGAGGGUGAUCGGCCACACUGGGACUGAGACACGGCCCAGACUCCUACGGGAGGCAGCAGUAGGGAAUCUUCCGCAAUGGACGAAAGUCUGACGGAGCAACGCCGCGUGAGUGAUGAAGGUUUUCGGAUCGUAAAGCUCUGUUGUUAGGGAAGAACAAGUGCCGUUCAAAUAGGGCGGCACCUUGACGGUACCUAACCAGAAAGCCACGGCUAACUACGUGCCAGCAGCCGCGGUAAUACGUAGGUGGCAAGCGUUGUCCGGAAUUAUUGGGCGUAAAGGGCUCGCAGGCGGUUUCUUAAGUCUGAUGUGAAAGCCCCCGGCUCAACCGGGGAGGGUCAUUGGAAACUGGGGAACUUGAGUGCAGAAGAGGAGAGUGGAAUUCCACGUGUAGCGGUGAAAUGCGUAGAGAUGUGGAGGAACACCAGUGGCGAAGGCGACUCUCUGGUCUGUAACUGACGCUGAGGAGCGAAAGCGUGGGGAGCGAACAGGAUUAGAUACCCUGGUAGUCCACGCCGUAAACGAUGAGUGCUAAGUGUUAGGGGGUUUCCGCCCCUUAGUGCUGCAGCUACGCAUUAAGCACUCCGCCUGGGGAGUACGGUCGCAGACUGAAACUCAAAGGAAUUGACGGGGGCCGCACAAGCGGUGGAGCCAUGGUGGGUUAAUU
rnacentral:rRNA from 1 species